rnacentral:rRNA from 1 species
CCCGUCACAUCACGAAAGUCGGAUUGUACUAGAAGUCUGCGCGCUAACCCGCAAGGGAGGCAGCGGCCCAAGGUAUGAUUCAUGAUUGGGGUG